rnacentral:tRNA from 1 species
GAGGGUAUAGCUCAGUGGUAGAGUGCAUGCUUAACAUGCACAAGGUCCUGGGUUUAAUCCCCAGUACUUCCA